ensembl:lncRNA
CCGCGGUAGUGUAUAAACUGUCCAAUAGGCGGCAGGCUUGGGCCACUUGCACCACAAGCGCGCACACACACCAGUACUCCCCUAGUAAUAUAGGUUCAUUUGAUAAGCCUUUUUUAUAUAUAUAAAAUAAUAAAUAUACUUAAUUCUGACGGUGGGUCAAGCUACCCACCAAACAUUUGGACGACCAAAGUCGUGAUCAGUGUCAAAUUGAAAGAUCAGGGACCCAUUUUCGACCAACUCCAAUUUGGCCAUGUGUUAAAUAAAUGUUACCAGAUUACGUGUAGCCUACAUUAUAUUCUUUAUAGACCUCAGCAGGAAAGGAGUAGUCCAGGAAGCCAAUUGCGACCUGGGAGGCCACAGAGCCGGUAUUGCUGCUGACCGCUUUGAGUGCAGGUCGAAGGCCGCCACCAGGGGGGGCUAGUGGUGGUAGUGGUGGGCCACUCAGUGGACCGCAGACGUCCAGCUGCAAGGGCUCCCAGGACGGACAGGGCCGGCCAAGAGGCUGGCCUCUGACGGGUGGGGCCCCCACCCUUAAUCACUGGGGCCCUUGAGGAACGAAAAACUAAAACACUUUGAAUCUACUAUCAGGUCAACUGUUUUAUUGCUUUUAAUCACAGGUAAUUUCAAGAUGCACAUCCAAAAACACAUCACUUAGAUAUAUUCAACACAUAUCAGAUUAGAAACAUAUGCAACGUGAGAAACGUUAGAACAAUGAGUUGUAGGACUCUUACAAGCACUUCCCAGACAGCAUAUGCUAAUGCUUUGUCAAACAUGUUAUAAGCACUCAAUAAAUACGAUGCCGUCUCUAACUGACGGAGAACUGGAGGAGAAAAACAUGAGUAGGGCUACGCCAUAGCACAGGUUCAUUGCGAAUAGAUAGCUUAAAGUUGCCUUUGCGUUAAGGUACCAUAAUACUCGUUGGGAGUUCAGCUGUUGCGUUCUAAAGCACCGCAAGUUUACACAAAAUCAGACGCAGCCUAAACAUUGUUUUCGAAACUACCCGCCAAUGUUUGUUGGAGCCAUGCCAGAGGCGGCAGUAGUAAUUGAGUCCUGAAAUAAGUGAGCGAGUUAGCCUUGUUAAUCGGCCUUAUAAAGCUUCUUACCCAAUUAUUAUUAAGUAGGUUUGCAAGCCGUCGCACAAGGUGAUCACAACCCGCGCACAACGACCGCGCCACCGCCCGUUUCACGAGGGCCCGAUGUUUUUAAGCACUGCAAGUUUACACAAAAUCAACGCAGCCUAAAGAUUGUUAUUUUGAAACGCUAAGGCACUUGGAGGUUAACACACACACACACACACACACACACACACACACACACACACACACACACACACACACACACACACACACACACACACACACACACACACACACACACACACACACACAAACACACACACACACCAGAGAUGGGGACUCGAGUCUGAGACUCGGACUCGAGUCGCACUCAAGUCGCACAAACGGUGACUUCAGACUUGACAUGUGACUCCACCCAAAACACUUCAGACUUGACUCAGACUCGAGCUCCGAGACUCGUCA